rnacentral:rRNA from 1 species
UGGCUCAGAACGAACGCUGGCGGCAAGCCUAACACAUGCAAGUCGAACGGACAAUUGUUUAUACCUUUGGUAUAAGUAAUUGUUAGUGGCAGACGGGUGAGUAAUGCGUAGGAAUCUACCUAGUAGUAUGGAAUAGCCAUUAGAAAUGAUGGGUAAUACUGUAUAGUCCCUGCGGGGGAAAGAUUUAUCGCUAUUAGAUGAGCCUAUGUUAGAUUAGCUAGUUGGUAAGGUAAUGGCUUACCAAGGCUAUGAUCUAUAGCUGGUCUGAGAGGACGAUCAGCCACACUGGAACUGAGAUACGGUCCAGACUCCUACGGGAGGCAGCAGUGGGGAAUAUUGGACAAUGGGCGAAAGCCUGAUCCAGCUAUGCCGCGUGAGUGAAGAAGGCCUUCGGGUUGUAAAGCUCUUUCAAUAGGGAAGAUAAUGACGGUACCUAUAGAAAAAGUCCCGGCAAACUC